rfam:Roseburia sp. CAG:100 genomic scaffold, scf357
GGGGUAGUAAAGGUUUCGACGGGGAAUUUGAAGAUGGAGAAGCAGGCCGCAGGAAUGCGUUAAAUCCACAAUUAAAAUUAAACGCUGAAGAUAAUUUAGCAUACGCUGCCUAAUGGCAGCUGUCUGACUUAGUGCACCUACACAUUAAGACCCAGGCAUCGAUUAUGUAGGAAACGACACAUACUAAGCUUUGCGUAUGUGGGCGUAUGAUGAAGCUACCGACUAUGCAGGGGCGUUGAUUCGCCUGUAUGGAAAGGAACAGGGCUGCAGAAGCCCGAAAUAAUCAACUAAGCCUGUAGAAGUACAUGGGAUAGUUUUUCGGACACGGGUUCGACUCCCGUCUACUCCACUU